GAUUAUGACGUGCUUGCACUGAAUGAGAUUUUAACACGAAGUGAGUGGCGGACGGGUGAGUAACACGUGGGUAACCUGCCCAGAAGCAGGGGAUAACACCUGGAAACAGAUGCUAAUACCGUAUAACAGAGAAAACCGCCUGGUUUUCUUUUAAAAGAUGGCUCUGCUAUCACUUCUGGAUGGACCCGCGGCGCAUUAGCUAGUUGGUGAGGUAACGGCUCACCAAGGCGAUGAUGCGUAGCCGACCUGAGAGGGUAAUCGGCCACAUUGGGACUGAGACACGGCCCAGACUCCUACGGGAGGCAGCAGUAGGGAAUCUUCCACAAUGGACGCAAGUCUGAUGGAGCAACGCCGCGUGAGUGAAGAAGGGUUUCGGCUCGUAAAGCUCUGUUGUUAAAGAAGAACGUGGGUGAGAGUAACUGUUCACCCAGUGACGGUAUUUAACCAGAAAGCCACGGCUAACUACGUGCCAGCAGCCGCGGUAAUACGUAGGUGGCAAGCGUUAUCCGGAUUUAUUGGGCGUAAAGCGAGCGCAGGCGGUCUUUUAAGUCUAAUGUGAAAGCCUUCGGCUCAACCGAAGAAGUGCAUUGGAAACUGGGAGACUUGAGUGCAGAAGAGGACAGUGGAACUCCAUGUGUAGCGGUGAAAUGCGUAGAUAUAUGGAAGAACACCAGUGGCGAAGGCGGCUGUCUGGUCUGUAACUGACGCUGAGGCUCGAAAGCAUGGGUAGCGAACAGGAUUAGAUACCCUGGGUAGUCCAUGCCGGAAAACGAUGAUUACUAAAGUGGUGGGGGGGUUUCCCGCCCUUUCCUUGCUUCCCCCUUCCCCCCGAGGAGGCCCCCCGCCCGGG
rnacentral:rRNA from 1 species